rnacentral:sRNA from 1 species
CCGGUCGGCGGCGGGGACCCGCUGCAUCGCCACCUCCCCCUGGACGGGCAGCCGCCCCGAGUGGCCUGGGCGGAAAGGCUGGUUCGCGGGCUGCGAGGUCUCUGGGGAACAAGACUCAUGGAGGAAAGCAGCACUAACCGAGAGAAAUACCUUAAAAGUGUUUUACGGGAACUGGUCACUUACCUCCUUUUUCUCAUAGUCUUGUGCAUCUGAACAAUCCCUUCGUGAAGGCUGCUGGUGUGUGAAUGUGUGCCGGUUCCUUGGGGCGUUCAUUUGGAUCUUUCUGUGUUCCAGUGACCUACGGCAUGAUGAGCUCCAAUGUGUACUACUACACCCGGAUGAUGUCACAGCUCUUCCUAGACACCCCCGUGUCCAAAACGGAGAAAACUAACUUUAAAACUCUGUCUUCCAUGGAAGACUUCUGGAAGUUCACAGAAGGCUCCUUAUUGGAUGGGCUGUACUGGAAGAUGCAGCCCAGCAACCAGACUGAAGCUGACAACCGAAGUUUCAUCUUCUAUGAGAACCUGCUGUUAGGGGUUCCACGAAUAC